rnacentral:rRNA from 1 species
UCAAGUGAAUAAGUGCAUGUGGUGGAUGCCUUGGCGAUUACAGGCGAUGAAAGACGCGAUAGCCUGCGAAAAGCUUCGGGGAGCUGGCAAAUGAGCUUUGAUCCGAAGAUGUCUGAAUGGGGAAACCCAGCCCGCAAGGGUUACUCCCUCCUGAAUAUAUAGGGAGGGUAGAGCGAACGUGGUGAACUGAAACAUCUAAGUAGCCAUAGGAAUAGAAAUCAACCGAGAUUCCCAGAGUAGUGGCGAGCGAAAUGGGACCAGCCUGCAACCUUUAACUUCAGAUUUAGCGGAACGGUUUGGAAAAGCCGGCCAUAGUGGGUGAUAGCCCCGUACGUAAAAAAUCAGGAGCAGAACUAGGGUUGCGACAAGUAGGGCGGGACACGUGAAAUCCUGUCUGAACAUGGGGGGACCAUCCUCCAAGGCUAAAUACUCGUAAUCGACCGAUAGUGAACCAGUACCGUGAGGGAAAGGCGAAAAGAACCCCGGGAGGGGAGUGAAAUAGAUCCUGAAACCGCAUGCAUACAAACAGUCGGAGCCCUGCUUUAAGCACCCUUGAAGGGUCUUUGUUUCCUGCUCGCUUGCGAGCAACGAAACAAAAGAUACUUUAGGGGAGUGAAUGAAAAUCGCGUCUCUGGUAGGAGAAGAGAUGAGGGUGCUUAAAGCAGGGUGACGGCGUACCUUUUGUAUAAUGGGUCAGCGACUUACGUUUUGUAGCGAGCUUAACCGCAUAGGGAAGGCGUAGCGAAAGCGAGUCUGAUAAGGGCGACUAGUUGCAAAGCGUAGACCCGAAACCGGAUGAUCUAUCCAUGGCCAGGAUGAAGGUGCCGUAACAGGUACUGGAGGUCCGAACCCACUAACGUUGAAAAGUUAGGGGAUGAGCUGUGGAUAGGGGUGAAAGGCUAAACAAAUCCGGAAAUAGCUGGUUCUCUCCGAAAACUAUUUAGGUAGUGCCUCAAGUAUCACCAUCGGGGGUAGAGCGCUGUUUUGGCUAGGGGGCCGUUUAGGUCUACCAAACCAAGGCAAACUCCGAAUACCGAUGAGUGCGAGCUUGGGAGACAGACGCCGGGUGCUAACGUCCGACGUCAAGAGGGAAACAACCCAGACCACCAGCUAAGGUCCCCAAACACAGUUAAGUGGAAAACGAAGUGGGAAGGCUAAAACAGUCAGGAUGUUGGCUUAGAAGCAGCCAUCAUUUAAAGAAAGCGUAAUAGCUCACUGAUCGAGUCGUCCUGCGCGGAAGAUGUAACGGGGCUAAACUGUGUACCGAAGCUGUGGAUUUGUAUGUUCUUAGGGAUGUACAGAUGGUAGGAGAGCGUUCCGUAGGUCUGUGAAGAUGCAUCGAGAGGUGUGUUGGAGAUAUCGGAAGUGCGAAUGCUGACAUGAGUAGCGAUAAAGGGUGUGAAAAGCACCCUCGCCGAAAGCCCGAGGUUUCCUGCGCAACGUUCAUCGGCGCAGGGUGAGUCGGCCCCUAAGGAGAGGGCGAAAGCCGUAUCUGAUGGGAAACUGGUUAAUAUUCCAGUACCACUGUUCAAUGCGAUGUGGGGACGGAGAAGGUUAUGCAAGCCGGGUGUUGGACGUCCCGGUUCAAGCGUGUAGGCGUGCUCUUUAGGUAAAUCCGGAGAGAUUAGCUGAGGCGUGAUAACGAGCGCUCUUUGAGUGUGAAGUUGCAGAUACCAAGCUUCCAGGAAAAGCCACUAAGCUUCAGUUGAACAGGACCGUACCGCAAACCGACACAGGUGGGCAGGAUGAAAAUUCUAAGGCGCUUGAGAGAACUCAGGAGAAGGAACUCGGCAAAUUGACACCGUAACUUCGGAAGAAGGUGUGCCUUUAGUAGGUGAACCAUUUACUUGGGGAGCCCAAUGAGGUUGCAAAAAAUCGGUGGCUGCGACUGUUUAAUAAAAACACAGCACUCUGCAAACACGAAAGUGGACGUAUAGGGUGUGACGCCUGCCCGGUGCUGGAAGAUUAAAUGAUGGGGUGCAAGCUCUUGAUUGAAGUCCCAGUAAACGGCGGCCGUAACUAUAACGGUCCUAAGGUAGCGAAAUUCCUUGUCGGGUAAGUUCCGACCCGCACGAAUGGCGUAACGAUGGCCACACUGUCUCCUCCUGAGACUCAGCGAAGUUGAAAUGUUUGUGAAGAUGCAAUCUCCCCGCGGCUAGACGGAAAGACCCCAUGCACCUUUACUGUAGCUUUACAUUGGACUGUGACACGGUCUGUGUAGGAUAGCUGGGAGCCUUUGAAGUGCGGACGCUAGUUCGCAUGGAGGCGACGUUGAAAUACCAGCCUGAUAGUGUUGCGGUUCUAACCUUGGUCCCUUAUCGGGAUCGGGGACCGUGUAUGGCAGGCAGUUUGACUGGGGCGGUCUCCUCCCAAAGAGUAACGGAGGAGUGCGAAGGUACGCUAGGUACGGUCGGACAUCGUACUGAUAGUGCAAUGGCAUAAGCGUGCUUGACUGCGAGACUGACAAGUCGAGCAGGUGCGAAAGCAGGUCAUAGUGAUCCGGUGGUUCUGAAUGGAAGGGCCAUCGCUCAACGGAUAAAAGGUACGCUGGGGAUAACAGGCUGAUUCCUCCCAAGAGUUCAUAUCGACGGGGGAGUUUGGCACCUCGAUGUCGGCUCAUCACAUCCUGGGGCUGUAGCCGGUCCCAAGGGUAUGGCUGUUCGCCAUUUAAAGUGGUACGUGAGCUGGGUUUAAAACGUCGUGAGACAGUUUGGUCCCUAUCUGCCGUGGGCGCUGGAAAUUUGAAGGGACCUGCUCCUAGUACGAGAGGACCGGAGUGGACGCACCGCUGGUGGACCAGUUAUCAUGCCAAUGGUAUCGCUGGGUAGCUAAGUGCGGAAGAGAUAAACGCUGAAAGCAUCUAAGCGUGAAACUCGCCUUGAGAUGAGAUUUCCCGGGGGUUUAACCCCCCUAAAGAGUCGUUCGAGACCAGGACGUUGAUAGGACGGAUGUGGAAGUGCAGUAAUGCAUUAAGCUGACCGUUACUAAUUGCUCGUGAGGCUUGAUCCU